UUUUCCUCCAUUGUCAAUCUUUAAUAGCUGUGUUGUUAUGUAUUGAAAGCAUGAAUGUUCACUGUCUUACUAAAAUGCUCCCACAAUCAUGCCUCUUUUUGUAGUACCAUCCUUCCAGAUACAAGUAGGAAAAGUCGCCAGAAGACAAGAGCUGUAGGGAAAACCACCAACCCUAUCUUCAACCACACUAUGGUGUAUGAUGGGUUCAGGCCUGAAGAUCUGAUGGAAGCCUGUGUAGAGCUUACUGUCUGGGACCAUUACAAAUUAACCAACCAAUUUUUGGGAGGUCUUCGGAUUGGCUUUGGAACAGGUAAAAGUUAUGGGACUGAAGUGGACUGGAUGGACUCUACUUCAGAGGAAGUUGCUCUCUGGGAGAAGAUGGUAAACUCCCCCAAUACUUGGAUUGAAGCAACACUGCCUCUCAGAAUGCUUUUGAUUGCCAAGAUUUCCAAAUGAGCCCAAAUUCCACUGGCUCCUCCACUGAAAACUACUAAACCGGUGGAAUCUGAUCUUGAAAAUCUCAGUAGGUGGACAAAUGUCCUCACUUUCUAUCCAUUGCACCUAAGGAAUACUACACAGCAUGUAAAAGUCAAUCUGCAUGUGCUUCUUUGAUUACAAGGCCCAAGGGAUUUAAAUAAUAACAAAAUGUGUAAUUU
rnacentral:sRNA from 1 species